rnacentral:lncRNA from 1 species
UAUUACUCCCUUCAAUCAAUUUCCCGAUAACGAAAAGGACAAUUGCUUUAACCCAGCGCAUUUCCUCCGAUAGGUUGGACGGCUCCUUUCAUUUUUGUUUUGCUUCAAUCUUUUCAUUUUUUCAGAUCUGCUGUGUUUAACAUCCCCCNNNNNNNNNNNNNNNNNNNNNNNNNNNNNNNNNNNNNNNNNNNNNNNNNNNNNNNNNNNNNNNNNNNNNNNNNNNNNNNNNNNNNNNNNCCCCCCCUCCCCGGAAUAUUUUGGCUCGUUGUAUCGAUUUUUAUCAUUAAUGCAAUUGAUUGAGUUCUCCAUUAUUUUGACUGUUCGUUGUACUCGUUCCUUUAGAUUGUUUGGGAACUAUUGAACUUCAGUUCUAUUAAAUUAAGAUCCAUAGGGAUUUUAGUGAUUCUGUAGAUUUAAUGUCAUAGGAUUUUGAACAUAAUUUCCCAAUUUGGAGAAUAGAGUCAAAUAGGUUAAUUCCUAAUUCCACCUGUGUACUCUGUUGAUGAGUUGAAAAGUUAUGAUCUUGAGAUGCAGCAUACAUAAUUCCUUCACAGAUUGCACAAGCAAAUUGGUAAAUUGGUGUAAAUCAGCUGUAAAAAGUGGCGAAUAACCAUCUAAUACGUUUUUGUCUCAUAAAAACAAGCCGCUGAAUGACUGCUAGUGAGCGUGUUAUCUGCAUGCUGAAUUUCUGCUAUUGGGUCUAUAAUUUUCAAAUUCCUACGCAGAAAUGGUUCAAGUUUAGCUAAGGAGCAAUUGGACCUAGUUCCCCCUCUAUCAAAAACUUAUUUGACUUAGUUCCCCAAUUUGAACUUUAAAGUGGAUUUUUGCAUUGGCAUUUUCUAGAUUUUUUUUGGAUGCUGCCAUCAUCUACUGAGUAUCAUCUUAUCUGUGGGGAAGAAUCCACAAUUCCUUGAUGGUGCAUGAACUCGGUCCAAGUGGCUAUAGGAAUCACUCACAGAUGCUAGUAAAUAAUGCCUGAAUAUAUUGCUUUAUUUGAUGUAUUUCCCAUCUUAAAGGAUCUCCCCUUUCCUUUAGAAAUGGAUAGUGUAUGAAACCAUUCUUGGUAAAAUUGAUUACGAACCAAGUAAGUUAGAUGAAUCUCAAUUAAACAUGUUAGCUAUUGUUCAUAGUUGUGACCAAAAGUAAGUGAGUAAUAAUCAACUUCAUCAUGCUCUCUCCCAGGUUAUUCUUCGCUAUUCAUAAUUUACACCUCUAUCUUUUUCCUGAUCCCUCUGACCCUAUCUAUAUAAUUUGCACAUCUAACCAAUUUAGUGUAAGAAGAAGGAUGAAAGACAUAAGAUGCCUAUUUUGUGAGCCCUUGUCUUUGCCAUUACUUCUACUUUCAUCAUUGCCAUUCUGUACUUCUUGCUUUAUUGUGUAUUAUUCAUUCUGUUUUUAAUAUUAUAGUUGUCUCUCUAGUACUGAUGUAGACAUCCUUUGGGGUUGCUUGGGGCGAAUCUUUUCGAGAAGUUGCAUAAAAUACAGUUACUAUGUUGUUUUGCUCACCACACUUCUGUUUCUCUCUUCCUCCACCUUCUGUGGUGCUUUACUUGGGUUUAACUGUCAUUGAAUCUAAAUAUAUUUCACUUCCAUAUAGGAGUCCGUCAACACUUCGUAAUGUUCUAUGCUUUCUGUGGAUACUUUUGGUGCUUACCAUGUCGAUUGAAAUAUAUGCAGGAAUUGUGAUUGGCUGCAGUGUGUAAGUUAUGGCUCUUGACAGCAUAAUAACUUCUCCUCAUAGAAGGUCACAGACACAGACAGCAUUUUCAUCUUCAGCCUCUCUCAAGAGACAAUAUUCCCGAUGUGAUGAGUUUGGAAGCUGUUCAACAUUACUUCAGCGCCACCGAUUCCUUCUAACUGCGCUUGGCCUCCUAGCUUUUCUCUGCACUGUCUAUCUCUACUUUGCAGUCACUCUGGGGGCUGGGGCUGGUGACUCGUGUUCUGGCUUGACAGGGACUCAAAAAGCAGCAUGUUAUGUGGAGCAUGGGAAAGCUCACAUGGGCAAAGGAAAACUUAAGUUCUUUUAGCAAAUCAUUGGCUACUGGCUAAUAAUUUAGUACUAUAUAUAUGAUAUUUUUAUUUCUUCUGAGGGGCAUAAGCGCAAUCCAAAGUGUUUCUUUUGGUUUCUUAGGUUUAUACGCUUGGCCUCCUAGCUUUUCUCUGCACUAUCUAUCUCUACUUUGCAGUCACUCUGGGGGUUGGGCCUGGUGACUCGUGUUCUGGCUUGGCAGGGACUCAAAAAGCAGCAUGUUAUGUGGAGCAUGGGAAAGCUCACAUGGGC